UACUCAACAUUAAUGCAUACGGUGGAUGCCUAGGUCGAAAGUACCGAUGAAGGACGUAACAAGCUGCGAUAAGCUUCGGGGAGCUGCUAAUAAGCUUUGAUCCGGAGAUCUCCGAAUAGGGUAACCAUCCUGUACCAUACGGUACGGGAACUGUUAACUGAAUUCAUAGGUUAACGGAGGGUACGCGCCCAACUGAAACAUCUAAGUAAGCGCAGGAAAAGAAAUCAACAGAGAUUCCCCAAGUAGCGGCGAGCGAAAAGGGAACAGCCCAAACCAUUCGAUUCGAUUUUGCUCCGCAAAAUCUCACUCAUGGCUAUAGCCAUGAUAAAGAUUAAAAGGGUCAUUGACCCCGAGCGAGGCAAAGCCGAGUCGAGUGGGGUAGUGAGGCCACAGUAGUGAGUAGUAAGGGUAGAAGAAUAGACUGGAAAGUCUGACCAAAGAAGGUGAUAGUCCUGUAUUCAAAACCUAAACUACCAUGGUGGAUUCCUCGAGUAGCACAGGACACGUGAAAUCCUGUGUGAAUCUGCGACGACCAUGUCGUAAGGCUAAAUAUGCUUUCGGACCGAUAGUGAACUAGUACCGUGAGGGAAAGGUGAAAAGAAGAGCGAAACGCUCAGUGAAAUAGUACCUGAAACCGUAUGUUGACAAGCAGUGAAACUCGUGCUUCGCACGAGAGUUUUCAGUCGUCAGUCGUCAGUCGUCAGAUAAAACAGAAAUGUUAUUGUCUGAUAGCUGAUGUCUGAUAGCUGGAGACUCUCACGCGGAGCGUGAGGAUCGCGUGCCUAUUGAAGAAUGAACCGGUGAGUUACCACAUUUUCCAAGUCUAAUCGUCCACUGGACGAGGAGGCGUAGUGAAAGCGAGCGCGAAGUGCGCGAUCAGGAGAAUGUGAUAGACCCGAAACCAAGUGAGCUAACCAUGUCCAGGGUGAAUCCCGCCGAAAGGUGGGAGGAGGCCCGAACCCGUAUCUGUAGCAAUAGGUUGGGACGAGAUGUGGUUAGGGGUGAUAUGCCAAACGAACUUGGAGAUAGCUGGUUCUCCCCGAAAUAUAUUUAGGUAUAGCCUUCAAAGUUUCAGCGCAGGGGUAGAGCACUGGAUGGGUUCUGCGGUCGCAAGAUCGUAGGCUCAAACAAACUCCGAAUACUGCGUGUACAUUUGAGGAGUCAGUCCGAUCCGGCUAAGCGGAGCGGGCCUAAGGGAAACAUCCCAGAUCGACAGCUAAGGUCCCUAAAUGAAACUUAAGUGUUAAAGGAAGUCUUGAUCCUUAGACAGCCAGGAAGUUGGCUUAGAAGCAGCCAUCUUUUAAAGAAAGCGUAACAGCUCGCUGGUCUAUUUAUGGGUUAUGGCGCCGACAACGAAUCGGGGCUCAAAGUUUCUACCGAAGCUUCGGAUUUACGCGCAAGCGUAAGUGGUAGGGGAGCGUCCGCCAAACAGUGAAGUCCAUGACGUGAGUCGGGAUGGAGUAUGGCGGAGUGAGAAUGCCGGUAUGAGUAACGUAUCCCGAUGAGAAAUCGGGACACCGAAUGCCCAAGGUUUCCGAUCCAAUGUUAAUCAGGGUCGGGUAAGUCGGUCCUAAGGUCAGCCCCGAUUAAAUCGGGGGUAGGGCAUCUCCCAAAGGUUACGCCCAGCUUUUUUGCCGAGUUCCUUGAUCAUUGUUAUCCCGAUCGCCUUAGUCUUCUCGACUAGCCCACCUGCGUCGGUUAUCGGUACGGUAAAACUGGAAAAAAUCGAUGAGGAUUUUCUCGGAAACAAAAACUUACUAAGUCAUCUCCGCCAGAGGCGGAGACUUCCCGUCAUAGCUUAAUUAAACGCAAUAAUGGAUUUUCCAAUUAUCACUAUCUUACUACUUAGCCCCGCCAAAGGCGGGGUUAGCUACUCUUGUUU
rnacentral:rRNA from 1 species